UCCACACAUAGGCAGCAGAGUCAGA
rnacentral:misc_RNA from 1 species